rnacentral:rRNA from 1 species
GCCUACGGGACGCAGCAGUAGGGAAUCUUCGUCAAUGGGCGCAAGCCUGAACGAGCGAUGCCGCGUGAGUGAAGAAGGCCUUCGGGUCGUAAAGCUCUGUUGCGGGGGAAAAAAGGCAGCAUCAGGAAAUGGGUGCUGACUGAUGGUGCCCCGCCAGAAAGUCACGGCUAACUACGUGCCAGCAGCCGCGGUAAUACGUAGGUGGCAAGCGUUGUCCGGAUUUAUUGGGCGUAAAGCGAGUGCAGGCGGUUUAAUUAGUCCGAU